AGAGCGAACGCUGGCGGCAGGCCUAACACAUGCAAGUCGAGCGCCGUAGCAAUACGGAGCGGCAGACGGGAGAGUAACGCGUGGGAACGUGCCCUUUGGUUCGGAACAACACAGGGAAACUUGUGCUAAUACCGGAUAAGCCCUUACGGGGAAAGAUUUAUCGCCAAAGGAUCGGCCCGCGUCUGAUUAGCUAGUUGGUGAGGUAACGGCUCACCAAGGCUACGAUCAGUAGCUGGUCUGAGAGGAUGAUCAGCCACAUUGGGACUGAGACACGGCCCAAACUCCUACGGGAGGCAGCAGUGGGGAAUAUUGGACAAUGGGCGCAAGCCUGAUCCAGCCAUGCCGCGUGAGUGAUGACGGCCUUAGGGUUGUAAAGCUCUUUCGCUCGGGACGAUAAUGACGGUACCGAGAUAAGAAGCCCGGCUAACUUCGUGCCAGCAGCCGC
rnacentral:rRNA from 1 species